UACAGAGGUCUCGAGCGUUGUUCGGAUUCAUUGGGCGUAAAGGGUGCGUAGGUGGCGCUGUAAGUCGGGUGUGAAAUCCUGAGGCUUAACCUCGGAACUGCAUUCGAUACUGCGGCGCUUGAGGACUGGAGAGGAGACUGGAAUUCAUGGUGUAGCAGUGAAAUGCGUAGAGAUCAUGAGGAAGACCAGUGGCGAAGGCGGAUCUCUGGACAGUUCCUGACACUGAGGCACGAAGGCCAGGGGAGCAAACGGG
rnacentral:rRNA from 1 species